rnacentral:rRNA from 1 species
UUAAGCGACUAAGCGUACACGGUGGAUGCCCUGGCAGUCAGAGGCGAUGAAGGACGUGCUAAUCUGCGAUAAGCGUCGGUAAGGUGAUAUGAACCGUUAUAACCGGCGAUUUCCGAAUGGGGAAACCCAGUGUGUUUCGACACACUAUCAUUAACUGAAUCCAUAGGUUAAUGAGGCGAACCGGGGGAACUGAAACAUCUAAGUACCCCGAGGAAAAGAAAUCAACCGAGAUUCCCCCAGUAGCGGCGAGCGAACGGGGAGGAGCCCAGAGCCUGAAUCAGUGUGUGUGUUAGUGGAAGCGUCUGGAAAGGCGCGCGAUACAGGGUGACAGCCCCGUACACAAAAAUACACAUAUUGUGAGCUCGAUGAGUAGGGCGGGACACGUGGUAUCCUGUCUGAAUAUGGGGGGACCAUCCUCCAAGGCUAAAUACUCCUGACUGACCGAUAGUGAACCAGUACCGUGAGGGAAAGGCGAAAAGAACCCCGGCGAGGGGAGUGAAAAAGAACCUGAAACCGUGUACGUACAAGCAGUGGGAGCACGCUUAGGCGUGUGACUGCGUACCUUUUGUAUAAUGGGUCAGCGACUUAUAUUCUGUAGCAAGGUUAACCGAAUAGGGGAGCCGAAGGGAAACCGAGUCUUAACUGGGCGUUAAGUUGCAGGGUAUAGACCCGAAACCCGGUGAUCUAGCCAUGGGCAGGUUGAAGGUUGGGUAACACUAACUGGAGGACCGAACCGACUAAUGUUGAAAAAUUAGCGGAUGACUUGUGGCUGGGGGUGAAAGGCCAAUCAAACCGGGAGAUAGCUGGUUCUCCCCGAAAGCUAUUUAGGUAGCGCCUCGUGAAUUCAUCUCCGGGGGUAGAGCACUGUUUCGGCAAGGGGGUCAUCCCGACUUACAACCCGAUGCAAACUGCGAAUACCGGAGAAUGUUAUCACGGGAGACACACGGCGGGUGCUAACGUCCGUCGUGAAGAGGGAAACAACCCAGACCGCCAGCUAAGGUCCCAAAGUCAUGGUUAAGUGGGAAACGAUGUGGGAAGGCCCAGACAGCCAGGAUGUUGGCUUAGAAGCAGCCAUCAUUUAAAGAAAGCGUAAUAGCUCACUGGUCGAGUCGGCCUGCGCGGAAGAUGUAACGGGGCUAAACCAUGCACCGAAGCUGCGGCAGCGACGCUUAUGCGUUGUUGGGUAGGGGAGCGUUCUGUAAGCCUGCGAAGGUGUGCUGUGAGGCAUGCUGGAGGUAUCAGAAGUGCGAAUGCUGACAUAAGUAACGAUAAAGCGGGUGAAAAGCCCGCUCGCCGGAAGACCAAGGGUUCCUGUCCAACGUUAAUCGGGGCAGGGUGAGUCGACCCCUAAGGCGAGGCCGAAAGGCGUAGUCGAUGGGAAACAGGUUAAUAUUCCUGUACUUGGUGUUACUGCGAAGGGGGGACGGAGAAGGCUAUGUUGGCCGGGCGACGGUUGUCCCGGUUUAAGCGUGUAGGCUGGUUUUCCAGGCAAAUCCGGAAAAUCAAGGCUGAGGCGUGAUGACGAGGCACUACGGUGCUGAAGCAACAAAUGCCCUGCUUCCAGGAAAAGCCUCUAAGCAUCAGGUAACAUCAAAUCGUACCCCAAACCGACACAGGUGGUCAGGUAGAGAAUACCAAGGCGCUUGAGAGAACUCGGGUGAAGGAACUAGGCAAAAUGGUGCCGUAACUUCGGGAGAAGGCACGCUGAUAUGUAGGUGAAGUCCCUUGCGGAUGGAGCUGAAAUCAGUCGAAGAUACCAGCUGGCUGCAACUGUUUAUUAAAAACACAGCACUGUGCAAACACGAAAGUGGACGUAUACGGUGUGACGCCUGCCCGGUGCCGGAAGGUUAAUUGAUGGGGUCAGCGCAAGCGAAGCUCUUGAUCGAAGCCCCGGUAAACGGCGGCCGUAACUAUAACGGUCCUAAGGUAGCGAAAUUCCUUGUCGGGUAAGUUCCGACCUGCACGAAUGGCGUAAUGAUGGCCAGGCUGUCUCCACCCGAGACUCAGUGAAAUUGAACUCGCUGUGAAGAUGCAGUGUACCCGCGGCAAGACGGAAAGACCCCGUGAACCUUUACUAUAGCUUGACACUGAACAUUGAGCCUUGAUGUGUAGGAUAGGUGGGAGGCUUUGAAGUGUGGACGCCAGUCUGCAUGGAGCCGGCCUUGAAAUACCACCCUUUAAUGUUUGAUGUUCUAACGUGGACCCGUGAUCCGGGUUGCGGACAGUGUCUGGUGGGUAGUUUGACUGGGGCGGUCUCCUCCUAAAGAGUAACGGAGGAGCACGAAGGUUGGCUAAUCCUGGUCGGACAUCAGGAGGUUAGUGCAAUGGCAUAAGCCAGCUUGACUGCGAGCGUGACGGCGCGAGCAGGUGCGAAAGCAGGUCAUAGUGAUCCGGUGGUUCUGAAUGGAAGGGCCAUCGCUCAACGGAUAAAAGGUACUCCGGGGAUAACAGGCUGAUACCGCCCAAGAGUUCAUAUCGACGGCGGUGUUUGGCACCUCGAUGUCGGCUCAUCACAUCCUGGGGCUGAAGUAGGUCCCAAGGGUAUGGCUGUUCGCCAUUUAAAGUGGUACGCGAGCUGGGUUUAGAACGUCGUGAGACAGUUCGGUCCCUAUCUGCCGUGGGCGCUGGAGAACUGAGGGGGGCUGCUCCUAGUACGAGAGGACCGGAGUGGACGCAUCACUGGUGUUCGGGUUGUCAUGCCAAUGGCACUGCCCGGUAGCUAAAUGCGGAAGAGAUAAGUGCUGAAAGCAUCUAAGCACGAAACUUGCCCCGAGAUGAGUUCUCCCUGACCCUUUAAGGGUCCUGAAGGAACGUUGAAGACGACGACGUUGAUAGGCCGGGUGUGUAAGCGCAGCGAUGCGUUGAGCUAACCGGUACUAAUGAACCGUGAGGCUUAACCUU